ACUCAAAGGAAUAGACGGGGGCCCGCACAAGCGGUGGAUUAUGUGGUUUAAUUCGAAGCAACGCGCAAAACCUUACCUGGGUUUGAAAUCCUACGAAUCUUUCAGAGAUGAGAGAGUGCCCUUCGGGGAAUGUAGAGACAGGCGCUGCAUGGCUGUCGUCAGCUCGUGUUGUGAAAUGUUGGGUUAAGUCUCGCAACGAGCGCAACCUCUAUCCUUAGUUGCCAGCAUUAAGUUGGGCACUCUAGGGAGACUGCCUGGGUUAACCAGGAGGAAGGUGGAGAUGACGUCAAGUCCUCAUGGCCCUUAUGUCCAGGGCUACACACGUAAUACAAUGGCCAGUAUAAAGGGACGCGAGCCCGCGAGGGGGAGCUAAUCUCAAAAAGCUGGUCUCAGUCCGGAUUGGAGUCUGCAACUCGACUCCAUGAAGUUGGAAUCGCUAGUAAUCGCUGAUCAGCACGCAGCGGUGAAUACGUUCCCGGGCCUUGCACACACCGCCCGU
rnacentral:rRNA from 1 species